rnacentral:rRNA from 2 species
CGUGCCUAAUACAUGCAAGUCGAGCGAACGGACGAGAAGCUUGCUUCUCUGAUGUUAGCGGCGGACGGGUGAGUAACACGUGGAUAACCUACCUAUAAGACUGGGAUAACUUCGGGAAACCGGAGCUAAUACCGGAUAAUAUUUUGAACCGCAUGGUUCAAAAGUGAAAGACGGUCUUGCUGUCACUUAUAGAUGGAUCCGCGCUGCAUUAGCUAGUUGGUAAGGUAACGGCUUACCAAGGCAACGAUGCAUAGCCGACCUGAGAGGGUGAUCGGCCACACUGGAACUGAGACACGGUCCAGACUCCUACGGGAGGCAGCAGUAGGGAAUCUUCCGCAAUGGGCGAAAGCCUGACGGAGCAACGCCGCGUGAGUGAUGAAGGUCUUCGGAUCGUAAAACUCUGUUAUUAGGGAAGAACAUAUGUGUAAGUAACUGUGCACAUCUUGACGGUACCUAAUCAGAAAGCCACGGCUAACUACGUGCCAGCAGCCGCGGUAAUACGUAGGUGGCAAGCGUUAUCCGGAAUUAUUGGGCGUAAAGCGCGCGUAGGCGGUUUUUUAAGUCUGAUGUGAAAGCCCACGGCUCAACCGUGGAGGGUCAUUGGAAACUGGAAAACUUGAGUGCAGAAGAGGAAAGUGGAAUUCCAUGUGUAGCGGUGAAAUGCGCAGAGAUAUGGAGGAACACCAGUGGCGAAGGCGACUUUCUGGUCUGUAACUGACGCUGAUGUGCGAAAGCGUGGGGAUCAAACAGGAUUAGAUACCCUGGUAGUCCACGCCGUAAACGAUGAGUGCUAAGUGUUAGGGGGUUUCCGCCCCUUAGUGCUGCAGCUAACGCAUUAAGCACUCCGCCUGGGGAGUACGACCGCAAGGUUGAAACUCAAAGGAAUUGACGGGGACCCGCACAAGCGGUGGAGCAUGUGGUUUAAUUCGAAGCAACGCGAAGAACCUUACCAAAUCUUGACAUCCUUUGACAACUCUAGAGAUAGAGCCUUCCCCUUCGGGGGACAAAGUGACAGGUGGUGCAUGGUUGUCGUCAGCUCGUGUCGUGAGAUGUUGGGUUAAGUCCCGCAACGAGCGCAACCCUUAAGCUUAGUUGCCAUCAUUAAGUUGGGCACUCUAAGUUGACUGCCGGUGACAAACCGGAGGAAGGUGGGGAUGACGUCAAAUCAUCAUGCCCCUUAUGAUUUGGGCUACACACGUGCUACAAUGGACAAUACAAAGGGCAGCGAAACCGCGAGGUCAAGCAAAUCCCAUAAAGUUGUUCUCAGUUCGGAUUGUAGUCUGCAACUCGACUACAUGAAGCUGGAAUCGCUAGUAAUCGUAGAUCAGCAUGCUACGGUGAAUACGUUCCCGGGUCUUGUACACACCGCCCGUCACACCACGAGAGUUUGUAACACCCGAAGCCGGUGGAGUAACCUUUUAGGAGCUAGCCGUCGAAGGUGGGACAAAUGAUUGGGGUGAAGUCGUAACAAGGUAGCCGUAUCGGAAGGUGCGGCUGGAUCACCU